CUUUGUUUCUCUCCUUCUUUAAAAUUUUUUUUUGUUGUCUUGAUUUUAAUGCCACAAUCCUUUUUCAGUUGAAAUUUUGUAUAUUUAUUUCUGAACUCAUGCAGCAGCAUUAUGAUAUCCUCCAGAAGGAACGUUCAAAAAUUGUUUCCUUUGAUAAAACAUCAAGACGAUGAAACGAGAGGGCCAGCUUCAAUGCGAUUCCCUCGUUCCUGCCCUGCUGUGUCCUCGUUCAACAUCACCAAAUGAAUGUAUAAAUAAACAAAUAAACUGUGCGCGCCGCAACGAAGUGCUGCAAAGGCAACAAAAUCCUCCUGCGCAGGAACGUCGUCGUCGUCAUCUUCAGUGAACAAGGAGGACGAGCGACCGACACGAAGAGAUUUCAUAUGGCUGGAUGGAGAGCAUCAAUGCCUCGUCGCCCGAUCGAGGAUAAAGCAAAAGGGAUCGUGGAGGGCCUUAAAGGAUUGAAUGACUAAAAAUAGAAAAAGGACUCAUCCUUUUUAUGUGUCUGCUGGCAGAAAAGUAAUGAGUUUUUCUUGUCCCUUCUCCCCG